rnacentral:rRNA from 1 species
GUGGGGAAUAUUGGACAAUGGGCGAAAGCCUGAUCCAGCCAUGCCGCGUGUGUGAAGAAGGUCUUCGGAUUGUAAAGCACUUUAAGUUGGGAGGAAGGGCAGUAAGUUAAUACCUUGCUGUUUUGACGUUACCGACAGAAUAAGCACCGGCUAACUUCGUGCCAGCAGCCGCGGUAAUACAGAGGGUGCGAGCGUUAAUCGGAUUUACUGGGCGUAAAGCGCGCGUAGGUGGUUGUGUAAGUUGGAGGUGAAAUCCCCGGGCUCAACCUGGGAACUGCCUCCAAAACUGCAUGACUAGAGUACGGUAGAGGGUAGUGGAAUUUCCUGUGUAGCGGUGAAAUGCGUAGAUAUAGGAAGGAACACCAGUGGCGAAGGCGACUACCUGGACUGAUACUGACACUGAGGUGCGAAAGCGUGGGGAGCAAACAGGAUUAGAAACCCUGGUAGUCC